rnacentral:rRNA from 1 species
AUGGUAUGUACUGGCUUUACUGAUUCCUCCUUCUUGAAGAACUGUAAUGUCAUUAAUUUGGUGUUGCAGGGAAACAGGACUGUUACUUUGAAAAAUUAGAGUGUUUAAAGCAGGCUAACGCUUGAAUACAUUAGCAUGGAAUAAUGAAAUAGGACGUUCGAUCCUAUUUUGUUGGUUUCUAGGAUUGACGUAAUGAUUAAUAGGGAUAGUUGGGGGCAUUAGUAUUCAAUUGUCAGAGGUGAAAUUCUUGGAUUUAUUGAAGACUGACUACUGCGAAAGCAUUUGCCAAGGAUGUUUUCAUUAAUCAAGAACGAAAGUUAGGGGAUCGAAGACGAUCAGAUACCGUCGUAGUCUUAACCAUAAACUAUGCCGACUAGGGAUCGGAUGAUGUUAAUUUUUUAAUGACUCAUUCGGCGCCUUACG